rnacentral:tRNA from 1 species
GCUCCUGUAGUUCAAUGGAUAGAACAUCCCCGUCCUAAGGGGAGGAUGCAGGUCCGAUUCCUGCUGGGAGCA